rnacentral:misc_RNA from 1 species
AACGCACAUUGCGCCCCUUGGUAUUCCGGGGGGCAUGCCUGUUCGAGCGUCAUUACAACCCUCAAGCUCUGCUUGGUCUUGGGCGUCACCGGUCCCCGGUGUGCCUUAAACUCAGUGGCGGCGCCAUCUGGCUCUAAGCGUAGUACAUACCCUCGCUACAGACGCCCGGUGGACGCUGGCCAGCAACCCCCAACUUACUAAGGUUGACCUCGGAUCAGGUAGGGAUACCCGCUGAACUUAA